rnacentral:sRNA from 1 species
GCCAGGAGUGGUGGCGCACACCUGUAAUCCCAGCAGCUCAGGAGGCUGAGGCAGGAGGAUCCCAAGUUCAAAGCCAGCCUCAG